UACAGAGACUGCAAGCGUUAUUCGGAUUCACUGGGCGUAAAGGGUGCGUAGGCGGUCGGGUAAGUCUGAUGUGAAAUCUCACAGCUUAACUGUGAAACUGCAUUGGAUACUAUCCGGCUCGAGGAAUGGAGGGGAGACUGGAAUACUUGGUGUAGCAGUGAAAUGCGUAGAUAUCAAGUGGAACACCAGUGGCGAAGGCGAGUCUCUGGGCCGUUACUGACGCUGAGGAGCGAAAGCGUGGGGAGCGAACAGG
rnacentral:rRNA from 1 species